rnacentral:lncRNA from 1 species
AACAAUCGAUUGUCUUCUUUUUAAAAUUCAACAGAAAUCUUUUUAACCGGAUUUUAAGGAAUUUGUCUGUUGAAAUUUUACUCCAACAACCGAUUGUGUAAUAUCAACAAUCAAUUGUCAGGCAGAUUUUCAGGAGCGUUUUCUGGAACUAAAAGCAACGGUCUAUUGCUCCAGUUUCUCUAUAAAACACUCUCUGAAAAUCAUUUUUUAAACACAACAACACUGCAGAAAAAGUAC